rnacentral:rRNA from 1 species
CAACCUGCCCACCACUUGGGGAUAACCUUGCGAAAGUAAGACUAAUACCCAAUGACGUCUCUAGAAGACAUCUGAAGGAGAUUAAAGAUUUAUCGGUGAUGGAUGGGGAUGCGUCUGAUUAGCUUGUUGGCGGGGUAACGGCCCACCAAGGCAACGAUCAGUAGGGGUUCUGAGAGGAAGGUCCCCCACAUUGGAACUGAGACACGGUCCAAACUCCUACGGGAGGCAGCAGUGAGGAAUAUUGGUCAAUGGGCGAGAGCCUGAACCAGCCAAGUAGCGUGCAGGAUGACGGCCCUAUGGGUUGUAAACUGCUUUUAUAAGGGAAUAAAGUGAGCCUCGUGAGGCUUUUUGCAUGUACCUUAUGAAUAAGGACCGGCUAAUUCCGUGCCAGCAGCCGCGGUAAUACGGAAGGUCCGGGCGUUAUCCGGAUUUAUUGGGUUUAAAGGGAGCGUAGGCCGGAGAUUAAGCGUGUUGUGAAAUGUAGACGCUCAACGUCUGCACUGCAGCGCGAACUGGUUUCCUUGAGUACGCACAAAGUGGGCGGAAUUCGUGGUGUAGCGGUGAAAUGCUUAGAUAUCACGAAGAACUCCGAUUG